AGAGACAGCAGUAGCCGCGGUAAUACGUAGGGUGCAAGCGUUAAUCGGAAUUACUGGGCGUAAAGCGUGCGCAGGCGGUUCUAUAAGACAGAUGUGAAAUCCCCGGGCUCAACCUGGGAACUGCAUUUGCGACUGUAGAGCUGGAGUGCGGCAGAGGGGGAUGGAAUUCCGCGUGUAGCAGUGAAAUGCGUAGAUAUGCGGAGGAACACCGAUGGCGAAGGCAAUCCCCUGGGCCUGCACUGACGCUCAUGCACGAAAGCGUGGGGAGCAAACAGGAUUAGAUACCCCUGUAGUCCCUGUCUCUUAUAC
rnacentral:rRNA from 1 species